GCUGUCAUCUACCAAUCAGCAUGUACAAACUGGUGCCGGAAGUUGCAAUCAUGUAACGCCAUGUUUUCAAAAAUGUCGGCGGCCAAAUGCCAUGCUAAGUGGCUUAAGCUAACCCUUCAAAUCCUGACCCCCUGCUUCAAUCUGCUGCAA